AAACUUUCAACAACGGAUCUCUUGGUUCUCGCAUCGAUGAAGAACGCAGCGAAACGCGAUAUGUAAUGUGAAUUGCAGAAUGUGAAUCAUCGAAUCUUUGAACGCACAUUGCGCCCUCUGGUAUUCCAGAGGGCAUACCUGUUUGAGCGUUAGU
rnacentral:rRNA from 1 species